UAGGGUUUUAGGGUCAGGGCCCGGGGCCCAGGGUUAGGGUUUUAGGGUCAGGGCCCGGGGCCCAGGGUUAGGGUGAUUUCCAGGAAGUGACCUCACAACGACUCAAGCUACCACUUAUUGUUGAUUGUGAUGAAAUGCCAGCUGAGGCACACACCUUGGGAGCUAAGUGGUUGCUGCACUUGACUACUAUGAAGACUGGUGUGGGAAGGGUCGCUUUGGAUGCACUUGAGCAGGGGUCCCCAACCCCUGAGCCAUGGAGCCGUAAGGAGCCACACAGCAGGUGGGACCAUCCAGUUUCAGGAAAACAAGCUUAACACGCCCACUGAUUCUACAUUAUGCUCCUACCUCCCGGCAGCCUCGCCAGGCCCAGAACUCUCUCCAGUCAGCCUCUACAGACCAAGCUCAUGACUCACAAUGGCCUAUUUAGGCCCAUAGCCUACCUCACGGCAGUCUCCGCAGAUGAGCCUACUGCCUCACAACAGCCUCCACAGGCACAGCUCCAUCGUUCCAAUGGCCUCUUUAGACCCAGCUCCUGCCUCCCAGCCUUGUCUCCAGGCCCUGAACUUUCUCCGUAAGUUGAGGUAGCUGGGACUGUAGGUAUACAUGAUGAUACUUGGCUAAUUUUUACAUUGUUUUGCAGACAUGGGGUCUCACUUUGUUGGCCAGGCUGCUGUCAAACUAAUGGCCUCAAGUGACCCUUCCACCCCUGCCUCCCAUCCUCGAGGUAUGUGCCACCACAAGGAGCACUUGUUCAAUUUUCUAAAGAAAAAAUUUCUAAAGUAAGGCUGUGGGAUGAUGGCAGGAAGAUAAAAGAAAAACAGAAGAAUAAGUUAAAAUGACUUAUUCACACAUAUUCUUUUGACAGCAAGAAGAACUGUUAGUAUAUACAUUGCUUACAAACAAACAAACGGCAGAUAAACAAUGUUGUAUAGGAACUUCAACACACACUGUACAAUAUUCCCACUUUGCUGACAUAAGUUAUGGAAAUUUCGUGGUUUCCUUGAGUGUCGCUACCAGUAUUUUGGUCCUCUGACGAUUUUUAUCAACUUCCUCAUCUGUUAACUUCUCUCCAAAGUAUGUCAUGUCACGACAUACUGCCGCUGCACGAACACGGCCAGUGUCUUCCUAUUAAACAUGUAGAAUGCUUUCCUAA